rnacentral:rRNA from 1 species
UACGAAGGGGGCUAGCGUUGCUCGGAAUCACUGGGCGUAAAGGGUGCGUAGGCGGGUCUUUAAGUCAGAGGUGAAAGCCCAGGGCUCAACCUUGGAAUUGCCUUUGAUACUGAUUGUCUUGAGUACGGGAGAGGUGAGUGGAACUCCGAGUGUAGAGGUGAAAUUCGUAGAUAUUCGGAAGAACACCAGUGGCGAAGGCGACUCACUGGCCCGUUACUGACGCUGAGGCGCGAAAGCGUGGGGAGCAAACAGG